UACGUAGGUGGCGAGCGUUGUCCGGAUUUACUGGGCGUAAAGGGAGCGUAGGCGGACUUUUAAGUGAGAUGUGAAAUACCCAGGCUCAACUUGGGUGCUGCAUUUCAAACUGGAAGUCUAGAGUGCAGGAGAGGAGAAUGGAAUUCCUAGUGUAGCGGUGAAAUGCGUAGAGAUUAGGAAGAACACCAGUGGCGAAGGCGAUUCUCUGGACUGUAACUGACGCUGAGGCUCGAAAGCGUGGGAAGCAAACAGGAUUAGAUACCCGCGUA
rnacentral:rRNA from 1 species